CUCAAAAGAGAUAUACAGACACAUAGAAAGAGACGGGAGAAAAGAGAUGCGAAAGAAAGCAGAUAGAGAUCCGGAGCUGGCGAAUCUCCGGCAACCGGCCCCACGCGUGCUCGCCUCCGACCCACAGAAACGAAGUCGUCGAGUCUACGUUUCCCGGCUAGGGUUCCGAUCAAGUUCUGGCAAUUUCCGGUUGACCUUUUUAUCUUGCAUGUUGGUUAUUUGGUUAGAUCGGUUGUCCAUGAGCCUUAAUCUGACGAGUCAUGUUGAUCUGUGGAGUAGGUUACCUCCGGUGAGGUUCCGGCGAGGUUCCGGUGAGGUACCGGAGAAGAUUUCGAUGUUGCUUGGAUUGGGUAGUCUAGAGAGAGAGAGAGAGAGAGAGAGGUGGUGGCUGUUCAGAUUCUAGAGCUCGAUGCCUCGAUGUAUAAGCCGGGCGACUAUUGCGACCGAGAGAAGUUCGUCGGCGGCGGAUGCGAACAUGUUCUAAAUCAGUGUAGUGUCGUGCUCCGUCGAUGACACCGAUAUCUGUCAUAUCUUCAACCCUAACAUCAUCUUCUUAAUCCUCCCUUCCCCGUCGCUCCACCUCCGCCGGAUCGGCAUUACGCGCGCCGCCUCCAACAACCACUACGUUGCGCUGUUCUCGGUGUAUCAGGAGGUGCUUUAACUUCGGAUAUCAAGAGAUCGUAUCGUCUACUGGCUUGAAAGGGAAAGAUUUUGUGUAAUGACUGCCAUAUCACGAUCCUUCCAUGCUACUUGAAAAGCAUGUAUCAACAAAGAGAAUUGUAUACGAGUGUUAAGAGAUAUAUGUUUUGGGGAAAUCGGGAUUUUGGUCAGAGUCCCACAAUUUCAUGAAUUUGAUGUUGACCACAUUGGUUCAAGAUGAAAGCGGUGAACCAAUACGAACUCGAUGCGAGAAUGCAAUGACAUGUGAGGAAAAGUUGAAAGUUACAGCAAGUUACAAGCACCUGCUUCUGCUCAAUUCAGAUACUAAAUCCACGGUGAGUGUCCUUUGAAUCUAAACGUUAUAAGCCUUGGCGUGUUGGGUACCUUAGACAGCAAGAAACUUCGCAACUACAUUUAAAAAAAGCAGUUGAAGAUGGUUCUAUAGAUUAUUAUAGCCGCUAGCAAGUCUUUGGUUAUUCAUUAAAGAUGAUUCAUGUUGAAGAGACUAAUGGCCGAGAAGCCAACUUUAUGGAUUCCAGCUUAUCUAUCUUAAAGAAUGCAGUUUGAACUUAAAUGAUUAAUGGACUCAAAGUUGGAUAGCCACCAGAUCAAUUUUAAUCUUGAGAUGGAAUUAAAGCCACAAGCACAACCAUUAUGUGUGUGACUUAACACGGUUGAGGCGCACUUUCUUUUGGGGAGGUAACGAAGACAACGAGAUGAAUUUGGUCGCUUCGUGUAAUGUUGUUCCUACAAAUUAUGGGGGUAUCGGUAUUGGGUCCUUGAAAGACACAAAUUUAGCUAUGCUUGCGAAAUGGUGGUGGAUGUUCAUAACCGAGCAAGGAGCUUUGUGGUGGAAGGUGAUUUGGGUAAUUCAUAGUGGGUUGAGGGGUUGGGUUUUCAUUCCGCGAAGCCUUUCUACUCCGGGUCCGUGGAAGCAAAUUGUGUGUAUAAAUGAAGUUCUGGGCAGUUUUGAAGUUAAUUUGGUGGGAUUGAUUAAUGGCCCUCUAAGCAUCUUUUUUCCUAAUCUUUAUAGGCUGGAAAAAGCUAAGAAUUGUGUGGUUGGGGAUUGAGUUGGGGCUGGGCAUAAUGGGGUUCGGUUCACUUGGGUUUGGGCUUGCAGAAAUCUCACUCAGCUUGAAACAGACGAAUUAAUGGGGUUACGGUCUUUCUUAGUUCUAUGCAGGCUUCUCCAAGGCCGGAUAAGUGGCAAUGGACAUUGGAAGGGUCGGGUUUAUUUUCGGCCAAAAGCUUAAAACGGGUCAUACGGGAAUUUGAUGCUCUGCAGCCUUCUUUUAGGUUUCCAUGGGUGAAUUGGGUUCCUAAAAAGGUGGGUUUUGUGGCUUAGAGGCCAGUUCUUCAGCGCCUUCCUACUGCUGAAGCGCUGAGUAGAAGAAACAUCUUGGUUCAGAACCCGCUGUGCAAGUUAUGUGGUGACUGCUUAGAGACUACUGACUAUGUGUUUAUAGCUUGACAAUUUUCGCGAAUGGUUUGGCAGGUUAUAUCCCAGUGGUGUAAUAUUCCCCCUAUCUACAUGUUCUAUAUCCAUGACCUUUUGAGCAUCCACUUGGCGAUUGACGUGUAACGCCUCGCUUUUUGAAAAUUCCUUAUUUAGAAAGACUAUUUAUAUUCCUAUUUUUGGAAACUUAUAUUCGUAUCAUAUUCAUAUUUCACUACCAGCUUCGUAAUUCAAAACGUUUAUCCUAAUAAAACUUGAUCAUUUUAUAAGAACUA